rnacentral:lncRNA from 1 species
AAGAAGACUAGAAGCACUGGGUAAAUGCACGACUUGUUCUUGCCUUCUAAAGCAGAGAGGAGCUUUUGUGGGUAGUUCCUACAGGGAUACAUGGUAGAAAAUUCACCAAACCCAGUGCUGGAGUGACAUGCUCUGGAGUCAGAAGACAGCGAAAAGAGAAGCAGAAGCCCCGGUGGCAAGAGUCUGAAGGAAGGAUGACUGUAGCCUGUGGAUUGUACUGCAGUAGGAAACUGUCCUAGCAAGGCUCCACUUUGCCCCAGCUUCAAGCUGGAAAGGAGGAGAACAUGAAACAUUGCUUGAAGACAAUGGCCGAGACAGCAGGUCCCACCCUGCACAGCCACCAGCAUCUCUCCCCUCAGCCCUGUCUCCUCUUCUGCAGUUGGGAUCUGCACAUUUAAGCCUGAAAUUGUCCUGUGAAGUGAAGUAUGAUCGGACAGCCUCUUUUCAGCUUUUAUGACAAUGGAGACAGAGGAAUUGUGGCUCUUGCCAAGGUCACAGGAUUGGAAUACAGAGCCAAGCCACCCCAGGACAUGCAAGAGCCUCAGAAGGGAAAAAAGCCCAGCAGGAAGGGAGAACAAGUAGCCUCUGUCCUGAAGUUGUAACAGCCAGGGGCCAGGAUGGAGGAGGAGGACCCCAUAAUCUGCCCAUCUGGGACUUGGCAGGGGACCUGGGAAAAUGUACCCCAACCCAUCCCUUAAGGGCCUUUGUCUUUGGCCCAUUGGCCUAGCA